AACCUUAUAUUCAAAGUAUAUGAUUUUAGACUGCAAUUCUGAAGGUGUAGAAUAUUUACUAAGGUUU
rnacentral:tRNA from 1 species